rnacentral:rRNA from 1 species
AGCACCACAACGGGUGGAGCUUGCGGUUUAAUUGGAUUCAACGCCGGAAAUCUUACCGGGACCGACAGCAAUAUGAAGGCCAGGCUGAAGACUUUGCCGGAUUAGCUGAGAGGUGGUGCAUGGCCGUCGUCAGUUCGUACUGUGAAGCAUCCUGUUAAGUCAGGCAACGAGCGAGACCCACGCCCACAGUUGCCAGCGUACUCUCUGGAGUGACGGGUACACUGUGGGGACCGCCGCUGCUAAAGCGGAGGAAGGAAUGGGCAACGGUAGGUCAGCAUGCCCCGAAUUAUCUGGGCUACACGCGGGCUACAAUGGGUGGGACAAUGGGUAUCGACACCGAAAGGUGAAGGCAAUCUCCUAAACCCAUCCGUAGUUCGGAUUGUGGGCUGCAACUCGCCCACAUGAAGCUGGAAUCUGUAGUAAUCGUGUCUCAAAAUGGCACGGUGAAUAUGUCCCUGCUCCUU